GUCAGUAACCCCAGCCCUAAAGGGACUGGGCUUGCAAGAGUAAUCAAGCAAGCCGUACUGACCAGACCACCCUGAGUUUACUCUCAUGGUAGCCGUUAUUUGAGUCACGACACCCCGGAAUGCGAAGCUAGUUCCCUGCUCUGUC
rnacentral:sRNA from 25 species